GUCGCAGGAUUCUACCGAGCCUCUUCCCCAUCGGUUGAUUGUUGACGCUGGGCCCUGGUUCUUUUCUCCACUGCCGGCUUCUUCUUCCAUUAGCCACCGACAGAGAGGGAACGAGGGGCACUGGUUAGGAGAGGCAGAUUUGAGUAGCAGUAACUUCUAGUUCCGGUCAUUAUAUCACCAAGGCACGCGUCUCCGACAGUGACUCAACAGUCGGGCAUACGCAAUUGGGAGCUUGACGCGAGACGUGUUUCUCAAUUAUUGGAUUUGGACCACUUUAUUGGAGGCGGGUACUUUGACUUGUGUCUUUUGAUAUGCAUGAUAAUAUGUUUAACAUAUAACAGUAAUUGUG